UCUGGUUUUUAAAUGGUAUUCUGAACUAAAGCAAGGAUUGUUCAAGUUAGUUGAAAAUAGACCGUCUCUGGUUAAAUUAGUUCUACACCAAGCCUUUAGGUGGCAGUAAAACUAAUUGGCACAAUGCGAAUUCCACACACAAGCCACAAAGAAGCCAUCUACCGCGGUCAACAACACUUCCUGAUUGAACAGAAUCACGCGCUGUCUGUGUGGUUUCACUGUUACAAGUUUCUUGGCGAUAUGGGGGGAAAGUUCCUCACAUACCAACGGAAAAUGGGCUUCACAUACAUGCUGCUGUCUCAUAAUAUGGCGAAGACGAGUCACCUGAAGGCCUAACUCGCCAUAGAAGACUGAAAGAAUUGUCCUGCAGGAUGCUGUGUCCUGCAAUCCUGUGUGCUGUGCUACAGACGCGUGUGGAGGUCAACCCAAAAUGGGCACAGUCUCACCACAGAAGAGUGAAAGAGGAUCCUGGCAGGGAGACGGUAGUGUCCUGCAGAAUGGUGAUGGGCCAAUCUUACAAGAGACCACAGAAAACUGAUAUAGUGAACUAUAGAAACAGAGUGCCUGCUGCAGUAUGGCGAGGACACCCUGAGCAGAGAGCUCCAAUAGACCCAGGUCCAGUGUCUUGGCAGGGUGAAAUGGCACUGAUAUGGUGUCCUGCAGGAUGCUGUGUCCUGCAAUCCUGUGUGCUGUGCUACAGACGCGUCUGGAAGCCAACCUGAAAUAAGCACAGUCUCUCCACAGAGGAGUGAAAGAGGCUCCCAGAAGUGAGACUGAGUGCCUGUUGCAGUAUGACGAGGACACAGUGACCAGAGACCUUCAGUAGACCCUUCUGGCAUGAUUGGCGGCUGAAGAACAUGAAAUCAACAGCAAUGUUUAUAAUGUUGUACAUACCUGUAUAGUCUGUAUUAAAAGGCAGUACCUGUA